rnacentral:rRNA from 1 species
AGAGUUUGAUCCUGGCUCAGAAUCAACGCUGGCGGCGUGCCUCAGACAUGCAAGUCGAACGCGAAAGACGCCUUCGGGCGUCGAGUAGAGUGGCGCACGGGUGAGUAACACGUAGGUAAUUUGCCUUUGGGUGGGGAAUAACAACCGGAAACGGUUGCUAAUACCGCAUAAUGCAGCGGCUCGGAAUCGAGACAGUUGUUAAAGCGGAGGAUUCGUUUGAACUUCGCGCCUGAAGAGAAGCCUGCGGCAGAUUAGCUAGUUGGUGAGGUAAUGGCUCACCAAGGCGACGAUCUGUAACCGGUCUAAGAGGACGGUCGGUCACACUGACACUGAAUAACGGGUCAGACUCCUACGGGAGGCAGCAGUCGGGAAUUUUGGGCAAUGGGCGCAAGCCUGACCCAGCAACGCCGCGUGAAGGAUGAAGUCCUUCGGGAUGUAAACUUCGUAAGAAUGGGACGAAUAAGCGCAAGCUAACACCUUGCGCGAUGACGGUACCAUUCGUAAGCUCCGGCUAACUUCGUGCCAGCAGCCGCGGUAAUACGAGGGGAGCAAGCGUUGUUCGGAUUUACUGGGCGUAAAGGGCGCGUAGGCGGUCGGACAAGUCAGUUGUGAAAUCUCCGAGCUUAACUCGGAGCGGUCAACUGAUACUGUCUGACUAGAGUGCAGAAGGGGCAACUGGAAUUCUCGGUGUAGCGGUGAAAUGCGUAGAUAUCGAGAGGAACACCGGCGGCGAAGGCGGGUUGCUGGGCUGACACUGACGCUGAAGCGCGAAAGCUAGGGGAGCGAACGGGAUUAGAUACCCCGGUAGUCCUAGCCUUAAACGAUGGAUGCUUGGUGUCCGAAGUCUUUUAGUCUUCGGGUGCCGUAGCUAACGCGGUAAGCAUCCCGCCUGGGGAGUACGGUCGCAAGACUGAAACUCAAAGGAAUUGACAGGGACCCGCACAAGCGGUGGAGCAUGUGGUUUAAUUCGACGCAACGCG